UGGGAAUCUUGCGCAAUGGACGAAAGUCUGACGCAGCCACGCCGCGUGAGUGAAGAAGGCCUUCGGGUUGUAAAGCUCUGUCACCUGGGACGAAAACAGUACGGUUAAUAGUCGUAUUGUCUGACGGUACCAGGGGAGGAAGCACCGGCUAACUUCGUGCCAGCAGCCGCGGUAAUACGAAGGGUGCAAGCGUUGCUCGGAAUUAUUGGGCGUAAAGGGUAGGUAGGUGGUCUUAUUUGUCGUAGGUGAA
rnacentral:rRNA from 1 species